GCGUCGGUGGCACAGUGAUUAGGACUCUCGCCGACCAUUCACAUAGUCCGGGGUUCGAAUCCCUGCCGACGCA
rnacentral:tRNA from 1 species